GCGCAUUCUCUCCGGCCCGCCCGCUCAGCCAGAAGCCCGCCCGAGGGCUUUUCCCGCCCUCCUGAAUGGGAUCUCAGUUCCUCGGGAAGACUUUCCAUUCAUCCCUUCGCGCUCCUCCAGAAAGGCGGGAAAAGCUCGGGAAACCCAACUCCUCCAAGAAAGGGCAUUUGCACAGCCGCCUCUCAUAGGCUGAAGCAGGGUGGCCAGAAAACGGGUUUUUCGGCUCAGCGUCUCCGGUCCCGCGCUUGUGUGAUUGAUUCAAUUCCGGCAACAACUUCGCGGCGUUCUCUUGCUCUCUCCCGGUCUAGGAAAGGGCAACCCUCUCGGCUCGUAACUGCGCCGGAGCUGCUCUUUCCAGAGGAGGAGAUGUGGGAGGCAGCUUUUACGAUGCAUCCCACGACGCCAGUUGGGAGGCUGCCUGUGUAAGGAACUCAGGCGGGAGAAGAGGUCCUGGAAGAGGAGGCGCGGAGGGAGACGAAGCCGCCGCUGCCGCCACCGCGUCUUGCUGCUGCGCUGACCACUCGCUUUCUGACCCGGCGGCUGCUUGGGAUUUUGCACCUCGUGCGGCAAAUAAGGGGCCAGAAACUAGGUGUGAAGAGACAUCCUGACGGGAAAUAAUACGAACAACCAUCAUCCUAAAGGACACACGCCGUCUGCCAUCGGGAGGUGGCUGACGGUGGCUUGUGGUGUUUUUCUUUCUUUCUUCUUUUCCUCCAGUCCCGGCAAACAGAUGCUUCCCCGCGCCUGGGUGGGAGAAGAGUGAAGGUCCCAUCGAAACGGUCCGUCUAAAGAAGAGAGGCCAGCCAGGGAUCUGGAAAAGUACGCGCAGACCGCCUUGGUGGAAAGAGGCAUUCUCCUCAGUCUCUUUCCCCUAUUGCCUUUUCCCGGGAGAGAGAGAGGAGGAUGGAGGGAGGCAACCUGAAAGUGGCCCUGUGUGUUGAAAGCGAAUCCAACUCCCCAGAGAUGGAGUAAGGGAGCCGGGGCUCGCUCUGCACCACUCCAGUGUUUUUGCCUUCACAGGCUGGAUCGGGACCUCGCUGAGCUGCUAAAAGGCGGAGAGCAACGCCGGGGCUGCGCAACUUCCUUGUCUUUUCAGAGGAAGGGGAGAAAAGAGAGAGAGAGAGAGAGACAUACAGCCAGCCAGCGGCGUUUCUUUUUCUCCCUCCUCUUCUACGUUUUGAAUGAUUGUGAUUUUGAAAUCGUGCAAGCAGAUCCAACACACGUCCCUUUCCCACUCCCAAAUCCCUCGACACGAUUUGCCUCCUGAUUUAUUUCCAAGCUGAGAGGAGUGGGAACUCAUCUCCCCCAAAGAUUUAAUAAUUAAACCAACAAAAGUGACCCGCCGUCUGAAAACAAGACCCCCACCCCUCUCAAAUCCAUGCAACUGCUGGAUGGUGCAGGCAGGCGGAUUUGGAAUUUGUACGCGAUGCAAGUCCGAUAAGGCUGGAGUUUCCCUCCGGGACCUGAAGGAGGAUCGCUAGGUGGGUCCUCGAGGAAGCGGGUCUGCAGGUGACCUAGAUGGUUUGGUCCCCCAUUUUAUCUUCACAACAGUCCUGUGAGUGCAUGCAUCCAGGAUGUGACAGAGAAGUUGCUGAGACUCCUCAAAUCCACUAACCCCAUAAUGUCCAAUAUCACUUCCUGUUGAUCCACGUGGCAACAAAUGAUACUACCAGAACAAAACUGGAAUGGACUUUGAGAAACUAUGAUGCACUGGAAAGGAAAGUGAAAUUGCUGGGAGCACAAGUGGUAUUUUCAUUUAUACUUCCUGUGGAAGAUCAACGCAAAGAAAGAGAAAGCAAGAUCCUGGAACUAAAGAAUCAACUACAAAGAUGGCAGGAAAAGUUUGGAUUCCUGUAUCAUGGCAUGCACUCACAUAAAGGACUCAUAUCAAGGAUGAAUUCAACUACACAAGGACUGAGAAGAACAUGUUUAAAGCAUUGAGAGCUUUAUACUAAAUCCUGAGGGGAAGGAAGACAAAAGCCCAGAACUAAGUAUAAAGCCAAGUACUAGGGACAAGAAUCCAGAUGACAAAGGUGGAAGCAGAAUGGUGAAGGAGUGGUGGCUCGGAAAUCUGUGAGAAACUACAGUCAGGAAGCCAGAUGAAUAAAAGAUACUUACAGAAAGCAACAAAAGGAAAACUGCUAAUAAUAAUAUUUGUUGUAACAUUGUGGGGGAAAAUAGCAUCUGGGGCAAACCAUCACAAAGCUCAUCAUGUUAAAACAGGAACUUGUGAGGUGGUUGCUCUCCACCGAUGUUGUAAUAAGAACAAGAUAGAAGAAAGAUCACAGACAGUGAAGUGCUCCUGCUUUCCCGGGCAGGUGGCAGGUACCACCCGGGCAGCUCCUUCUUGUGUUGAUGCUUCAAUAGUGGAACAAAAAUGGUGGUGUCACAUGCAACCAUGUCUUGAAGGGGAGGAAUGCAAAGUUCUUCCAGAUCGGAAAGGAUGGAGUUGUUCUUCUGGAAAUAAAGUGAAAACAACGAGGGCAAACGUGUAAAACCCUUCAAGAACAAGGAGAUUUCUGCUGUGCCUGAUGACAAUUUUUGAUUAUUCCACACACACACAAUAUUCUGGCUCCACGUUUGGGUCAAUAGUUGUGAUGAAUCCUAGUCUUGGUCGGAUUUUCAGGAAAGGCCAGAAGGUUCGUUGAGGAGUAAAGAGUCAAAAACACUCCCGAAAGAUGUUCCAGCUUUGGUUUAAUACUCACAGAGCAGCAGGUAACUCAAUAGCAAAAGACAAAUCAAAUCAAACUCAAGACUUAUAACAUUAAAUUCAGCUAAGUAGGAAGUUUUCAUACCCAACUACAGUCCUUGAGGUUUGGCUUGAAACUGUUAGGGCAUACUAAUUAUUUCAAUGAGAACAUGGACUGCAAUCAUCAGCCACUUGAGAUCAAAACUACGGGAAAUUAAGACAUACAUGCCUGUAUGUCAUAAAGAUUUCAACAGACGGAACUGUGUACAUUUGUAAAAACAGCAGAAACUUGAAAGUAUGUAUGGCUAAGGAAGUGAAGAGGUGAUGCUAAAAGGAGGCUGAAGAAACAACAAUCUUUUGAAUCCUUGACUUGAGACUUCUCACAUUUCACCUCUACGAAUGCAGACUUUGAAAUGUACUGAUCUGUUUCCUCCGGAACUUUUCUAGUCCUCCAUUUAGAUUACUGGUGGGACUGUGCACUGCUUUAAUCAAAUUAUAGUUCGAGAAAUUGUCCUCUGACACAGCACAGUUUUAGAAAUUUUUAAGUUGUAUUCUAAUCCUGAAGCUCCAAGGCUACAUAUUUCAACAUGUUGAAGUUGCUUUUCUUAUAGGAAUGGAAAUAUAUAUCCAUUGUUAAUCACUAUUGUUGACAAGUAGUAGUUAUCUGCAUACGUCAUUCAUAUACGAAUGUAUCAUUAGUCGGACAUGUUCCCCUAAAGCUAACCAGCUCCUGCGAUCCCUUUCUGACAAAUAAAGGGUGGUCAAAAUUCAGUUUUCAUGACUCCCCUUUGGUAUUUUAUGCCUUUGAAAUAUCAGUUUCAUAUAAUUUCAAGAAAAUCGGUGUUCUUUGUAUACCCUUUGAUUUAACAUUAGGCCCUAAAAAGGAUGGUAAAUAAAUUAUACUAGCUAGUCCAUUUACGGAGGAAGACAGGGAUGCAUGUUAAUUUUUCAGUUCUGAGAUUUAAUGGUAUUCAUUAAUGUGUGUCUUUUAGAUUUUUUUAAAAAAUGACUAUCUCUUGCUUGAAAAAUAUUACUAUCUGGAUGCUUAAUUAGAUGUCUGCUCAGCUCUGUUUCUUGAUAGAGAAAAUUGGUUUUCUUCUAAUCUGUCAUCCAUCGAUGUUUUCCCUGUGCACUUCAGGUACUUUGGUCCAUCCUGUGGUUAUUUUGUUAAACCAACAGUUGGUUUUCUAUCUUCUAUUUCAGUAUCUAUUUUUUAAUCUUGGUGAUCUCCUGUUCCAUGAAAAUAUUUAAUGUUUAAAUGCCUUAAGCAGCUGUACACCUUUUUUCUAAGUUAUUACAGAAUGUAUAAUUUUAUAUACCAUUUAAUAUACACCAUGUUAUCUGGAAAUAUUAAGACAAAGAGUAGACACUUUAUUUUGCAUACCACACUGAUGCUGCAAAAUCAAGUUGGUUUUAGAAAAGGCAAAGAAAGAGAUUUAUACUCAUAUGCAUUUGCUUGUGAAUUAUUAUGAAGACUACACAGACUCAAUCCCAGUAGAAAGUUACUGUGCCCACAACCUCAAGUUAUUUCAAAUUGUUACCAGUAUUUGUGAAAAUAAGGAGACCUCUUUCUCAGUUUGUUAUAAGUCAUUGAAAUGGCUAAUUAGAAAUAAAUGGGGUUCCCUGAUAGAUUAAUACCCUGGGGUACUGUGCUCUGUCACAUGAUGCAGGAUUGUUUCACAACUAUUUCCUUACCUCUGCUGUAUUAUGGCACUGGAUGGUGGAAAACUAAUGAUUGUUGAAAAUCAAUUCGAGAUGUAUAUUGUAUCAUUCCGCUACAGAAUAAUCCAAAAUUUUUGCAGGCAAGAUGAUCUUUUUUUUAAUUAAAGUUUAAUUAAGAGAUACUGACUGACAUCCAGACUAAAUUACUCAUAAGUAGUCCCGUGACUAAUUUGUUCCACUAAUUUCAAAGGAACUACUCAUACGUAAUUUAGUCUGGAUGUCAGCCACUGGCUGUGGCACCAGUUAGCUACCUUGAUAUUUUGGAAGGAUUAAUAUUCUAUGGAUUUGGGUUUUUCUUUUUAAAAGAGAUGUAAUUGGGGGGACAUAGAAAUCAAAAAUUUUGAUGAAUUCCUUUGCUUAGGAUAGUAUAAAUGUGUAAUUUUGUAGGAUUAUGAGUUUGGUCUCAAAAUACUACAACAUGCUUUUCAACAUUUGUUUCCUUUGCAUUUAUUUUUAAACUGACACUGAAAAUAUUGUAUUAUAUACAAGUGUAAGACAUGCAUAUCAAUAGGUGAAAAUAAAUGGAUUUUCCAAUAUAUUGCA